rnacentral:rRNA from 1 species
GAUGAACGCUGGCGGCGUGCCUAAUACAUGCAAGUCGAGCGAACGGACGAGAAGCUUGCUUCUCUGAUGUUAGCGGCGGACGGGUGAGUAACACGUGGAUAACCUACCUAUAAGACUGGGAUAACUUCGGGAAACCGGAGCUAAUACCGGAUAAUAUUUUGAACCGCAUGGUUCAAAAGUAAAAGACGGUCUUGCUGUCACUUAUAGAUGGAUCCGCGCUGCAUUAGCUAGUUGGUAAGGUAACGGCUUACCAAGGCAACGAUGCAUAGCCGACCUGAGAGGGUGAUCGGCCACACGGGAACUGAGACACGGUCCAGACUCCUACGGGAGGCAGCAGUAGGGAAUCGUCCGCAAUGGGCGAAAGCCUGACGGAGCAACGCCGCGUGAGUGAUGAAGGUCUUCGGAUCGUAAAACUCUGUUAUUAGGGAAGAACAUAUGUGUAAGUAACUGUGCACAUCUUGACGGUACCUAAUCAGAAAGCCACGGCUAACUACGUG